AACCCCAAUUUUUGGUCUCCGUUUCGUUCGGUAACUACAAACCGAAACCUAUCCGAAACCUAUGUUUUCGGUUCUGCAAACCGAAGUCGUGUUAUAUGGUUCCAUUGGUUCGGUAGCUGCACCUGAAGCUCUGUAUUAUACGGUUUUAAACUCAAUCGGUUCAUCAGUUACGAAAAACACAAGUGUUGAGGGUGGAAUUAUGCUUCAUGAAUUUGUUUUCCUCGAUAUUUUUUAUAAUUGUAAAAUGAGUGGAUAAGAAGGCAAAACUCAAAGCAAAGGUCUCCAAAAAAAAUGAGUUAUGCAAGGUUCCUGAAAUUGUAAUCCAGGAAGCAUGAUUAUGUUGAGUAAGUAGUGGAGCAUAAUUUGUGGUCAUAGGAGUAGUUUUAGUGGAGUUUGUUGUUUUUAUUUUGCUGAGUCACUAAUCCUAAUUGUUAAGUGAUGAUAGUUGUUGGUUGUUCCUUUAUUUUAGCCACUUCCACGUUGUUGGGCUUGUAAAACGUGAUAGCUAUUGUGUCAAAAAAAAAACGUGAUAGCUAUCGAAGUUGUGUUUAAUGGUCAUAACACCUGUUCGAGUCAGUUAAUUGGUAGCUAUGUACCGAAAACGCUCAGCUUCGUAAUGUAAAACCCGAACAUGGACGCUCAGCUUCGUAAUGUAAAACCCGAACAUGGUAAUUUUGGUAUUUGCGUACCGAACUGGUGUAAUAU
rnacentral:lncRNA from 1 species